rnacentral:rRNA from 1 species
UACGGAGGGGGCUAGCGUUGUUCGGAAUUACUGGGCGUAAAAGCGCACGUAGGCGGACUGUUAAGUCGGGGGUGAAAUCCUGGGGCUCAACCUCAGAAUUGCCUCCGAUACUGGCAGUCUCGAGUGCGGGAGAGGUGAGUGGAAUUCCCAGUGUAGAGGUGAAAUUCGUAGAUAUUGGGAAGAACACCAGUGGCGAAGGCGGCUCACUGGCCCGUAACUGACGCUGAGGUG